AGCAGCCGCGGUAAUUCCGGCUCCAAUAGCGUAUAUUAAAGUUGUUGCAGUUAAAAAGCUCGUAGUUGAAUUUCGGGAUUAGUACGUUGGUCGUGCCUUAGGUACGUACUGGUGUUACUGGUUCCUACCUUCUGACGAACCAUCAUGUCAUUAAUUUGGUGUGGCGGGGAAUCAGGACUGUUACUUUGAAAAAAUUAGAGUGUUUAAAGCAGGCUCGCGCUUGAAUACAUUAGCAUGGAAUAAUGAAAUAGGACGUUGACCCUAUUUUGUUGGUUUCUAGGAUUGACGUAAUGAUUAAUAGGGAUAGUUGGGGGCAUUAGUAUUCAAUUGUCAGAGGUGAAAUUCUUGGAUUUAUUGAAGCUAACUACUGCGAAAGCAUUUGCCAAGGAUGUUUUCAUUAAUCAAGAACGAAAGUUAGGGAUCGAAGACGAUCAGAUACCGUGUAGUCUUAACCAUAAACCUAUGCCGACUAGGGAUCGGAUGAUGUUAAUUUUUAAUGACUCAUUCGGCGCCUUACGGG
rnacentral:rRNA from 1 species